GUGGGGAAUUUUGGACAAUGGGGGCAACCCUGAUCCAGCAAUGCCGCGUGCAGGAAGAAGGCCUUCGGGUUGUAAACUGCUUUUGUACGGAACGAAAAGGCUCUGGUUAAUACCUGGGGCACAUGACGGUACCGUAAGAAUAAGCACCGGCUAACUACGUGCCAGCAGCCGCGGUAAUACGUAGGGUGCAAGCGUUAAUCGGAAUUACUGGGCGUAAAGCGUGCGCAGGCGGUGCUGUAAGACAGGCGUGAAAUCCCCGGGCUUAACCUGGGAAUGGCGCUUGUGACUGCAGUGCUGGAGUGUGGCAGAGGGGGAUGGAAUUCCGCGUGUAGCAGUGAAAUGCGUAGAUAUGCGGAGGAACACCGAUGGCGAAGGCAAUCCCCUGGGCCUGCACUGACGCUCAUGCACGAAAGCGUGGGGAGCAAACAGGAUUAGAUACCCUUGUAGUCC
rnacentral:rRNA from 1 species